ensembl:snoRNA predicted gene, 22394
CUCAGGGCUCUCGGGAACCUGGGGAGAUGCUGCCACGGAAGCUGA